AUGUGGACCAUUGACGCACAACGGAUUCUUUCAAUCCCAAUUUCGCAACAUAAUAUGACCGAUUUUAUUGCCUGGAGUUAUACGAAAAAUGGUCUGUUUUCGGUACGGUCUGCUUACUCUGUGGAGUGGAACUAUCAGUAUGGGAGCAAACUAAAAUAUUCCAACGGGAUGGGACGGAGCACACAUAACCCUAUAUAGUGUCAGAUAUGGAAGUUAUCUUGUCCGGCUAAAGUCAAAAUAUUUUUAUGGCGGACACUACAUGGUACUCUUCCAUGUCGGGCAACACUCACUAAUACACACAUGAAAGUCUCACCCUUGUGUCCUACAUGCUCCCAGGGUGUAGAAGAUACAAAGCACUUGCUUUUCCUAUGUAGAAAAGCAAAGGAGGUUUGGAAAAGGCUAGGGUUGGAUAUGAUUAUUGAGAGAGCUUGUGAGAUUGAUCGUGCUGGGGAGGCAAUACUGGAAUACUUAUUACUCCUUCCAGAUCAAGAUCUGCGCAUUAUGGGGUACAAAAAUGUUCGAGAAAUGGUAGCUAUCUCUGCUUGGUAUCUAUGGUGGGAAAGAAGGAAAUUAGUGCAUAAGAAAUUCACUCAAAAUGCGACUCAGAUCUCAAUGGGGAUCAUAGCUCUUACAUAUAAUUUUGUACAUGCAUCAUCUUCAAAUGCGUCCAUAAAAAAGGGGGUUGGCAAUGUCCUCCUAGGGGCUUUGUGA
rnacentral:rRNA from 1 species